rnacentral:rRNA from 2 species
GCAGUCGAGCGAACAGAUGGGAGCUUGCUCCCUGAUGUUAGCGGCGGACGGGUGAGUAACACGUGGGUAACCUGCCUGUAAGACUGGGAUAACUCCGGGAAACCGGGGCUAAUACCGGAUGGUUGUUUGAACCGCAUGGUUCAAACAUAAAAGGUGGCUUCGGCUACCACUUACAGAUGGACCCGCGGCGCAUUAGCUAGUUGGUGAGGUAAUGGCUCACCAAGGCAACGAUGCGUAGCCGACCUGAGAGGGUGAUCGGCCACACUGGGACUGAGACACGGCCCAGACUCCUACGGGAGGCAGCAGUAGGGAAUCUUCCGCAAUGGACGAAAGUCUGACGGAGCAACGCCGCGUGAGUGAUGAAGGUUUUCGGAUCGUAAAGCUCUGUUGUUAGGGAAGAACAAGUACCGUUCGAAUAGGGCGGUACCUUGACGGUACCUAACCAGAAAGCCACGGCUAACUACGUGCCAGCAGCCGCGGUAAUACGUAGGUGGCAAGCGUUGUCCGGAAUUAUUGGGCGUAAAGGGCUCGCAGGCGGUUUCUUAAGUCUGAUGUGAAAGCCCCCGGCUCAACCGGGGAGGGUCAUUGGAAACUGGGAAACUUGAGUGCAGAAGAGGAGAGUGGAAUUCCACGUGUAGCGGUGAAAUGCGUAGAGAUGUGGAGGAACACCAGUGGCGAAGGCGACUCUCUGGUCUGUAACUGACGCUGAGGAGCGAAAGCGUGGGGAGCGAACAGGAUUAGA